rnacentral:lncRNA from 1 species
CCGAGUCAUGUUCGAAAUCGCGUGAGGCUGGGUUGGGCCGAGUCAUGUUCGAAGUGGCGUGAGGCCAGGUGGGCCGAGUCACAAUCGAGACCCGUGGGCGCUGUUUCUGUACGCUUUAAGUGAAUUGGUUGCGUAUUUCUAACAGCUCGAGUUUUUGGGAUUAAUGGUUAGCGUCAACAAUCCGACAAGUUGUAUCAGAGCCAGAGCUCACAGAUUUAAUUCCUGCAUGCUGCAAAUGUGCGCAGGUGCUGGAGGGGGGAUUGUUGGCUUAAAUGGGCCAGCAUCCUACCCUGUGGCAGGAGGCCAUAUGGGCCGAGUCAUGUUCGAAAUGGCGUGAGGCUGGGUUGGGCCGAGCCAUGCUCAAAGUGGCGUAAGGCCAGGUGGGCUGAGUCACAAUCGAGAUCCGUGGGCACUGUUUCUGUACGCUUUAAGUGAAUUGGUUGCGUAUUUCUAACAGCUCGAGUUUUUGGGAUUAAUGGUUAGCGUCAACAAUCCGACAAGUUGUAUCAGAGCCAGAGCUCACAGAUUUAAUUCCUGCAUGCUGCAAAUGUGCGCAGGUGCUGGAGGGGGGAUUGUUGGCUUAAAUGGGCCAGCAUCCUACCCUGUGGCGGGAGGCCAUAUGGGCCGAGUCAUGUUCGAAAUCGCGUGAGGCUGGAUUGGGCCGAGUCAUGUUCGAAGUGGCGUGAGGCCAGGUGGGCCGAGUUACAAUCGAGACCCGUGGGCACUGUUUCUGUACGCUUUAAGUGAAUUGGUUGCGUAUUUCUAACAACUCGAGCUUUUGGGAUUAAUGGUUCGCGCCAACGAUCCGACACGUUAUACUUGAUCUAUACUAUUAAAAGUAUUUAGAAACUAAAUAAUUUUUCGAUACCAUUUGAAAUACCUAUCAAACAAGUAGUCUAAAAUUGAACGGCUGAAAAUAAAAAUCUCAUAAAAAAUGAUGAUAAAAGAUUUAAAUUCAAGAUCAGAUAUACUGAUCUUACUCUAAAUAGUGAAAAGAAUUUUUCAUAAAAUUUUCAUCAGAUUUGAAUUGUUUUACACCGUUAAACUCUCAAACACACCACAUCGGCCAUUAAAAUUGUCAAUUUUGUGAUCUUUUGAUCACUAGUCAAAUGAUGUCGAAAAAAAUCUGAAAUUUAGUUUUCAAAUACUUUCAAUAGUGUAGAUCAGGUUUAACGUAAUCGAUCGUCGAUUUGAAAGUCGCAUCAUCAAAAACAACUUGGUAGUACGGAGCGCUCCGUGCUACCGACAGUGUAGUAGCCGGACUUAUAUAUAUAUAU